AGCAGCCGCGGUAAUUCCAGCUCCAAUAGCGUAUAUUAAAGUUGUUGCAGUUAAAAAGCUCGUAGUUGAAUUUCGGGAUCAAUAUGUUGGUCGUGCCUUGGUACGUACUGGCAUUAUCGAUUCCUACCUUCUGAAGAACCUCGAUGUCAUUAAUUUGGUGUCUUGGGGAAUCAGGACUGUUACUUUGAAAAAUUAGAGUGUUUAAAGCAGGCUCGCGCUUGAAUACAUUAGCAUGGAAUAAUGAAAUAGGACGUUUGAUUCUAUUUUGUUGGUUUCUAGGAUCGACGUAAUGAUUAAUAGGGAUAGUUGGGGGCAUUAGUAUUCAAUUGUCAGAGGUGAAAUUCUUGGAUUUAUUGAAGACUAACUACUGCGAAAGCAUUUGCCAAGGAUGUUUUCAUUAAUCAAGAACGAAAGUUAGGGGAUCGAAGACGAUCAGAUACCGUCGUAGUCUUAACCAUAAACUAUGCCGACUAGGGAUCGGAUGAUGUUAAUUUUUAAUG
rnacentral:rRNA from 1 species